rnacentral:tRNA from 1 species
GCAGUGGUAGUUCAUUGGUAGAAUUUUUGCCUUCCAUGUGGGAAACCUGGGUUUGAUUCCUGGCCUAUGCA